rnacentral:lncRNA from 1 species
UAGGCAUUCCAAACUUAACGUGCUUAACUAGGAACACUUGCUUCCCUCUUCCUCUCUCUCGCUCUGCUCCAAACUGUCUCCCCCUUCUUAGUAAACAGUGUCAUCUUCCAUCCUUCUAGAAGCCCAGGCCAAGAUGUACGUGCCAUCCCUCAUUCUUCACGUCCUCAUCCUCCAUGUUUGAUGCAUCAACACGUCAUCUCAGCUGACUUUCCAAGGGAUUCUUCGAACUGAUCAUUUUCUCUUGGUUUCCAUUACUAGAAUCCAGCUAGUUCAGUCACUACAAGAUCUGGGGCCUGGCUGCCUCCCAACUUGGUCUCAUCUUCUUCUUCCCCUCCCUCAGGAUGCUCCAGAGAAGAACUGAAGUUACAAUGCUCCGGUCCUGAAGAUGCCAGAAACUGGAUUAAUCAAGUCAAAGGACCGAGCUGGCAUUUGCCCUGGUCUUCCCGUCUCGCUUCCUCCUUCUAACAGAUAUGUAGGGGGUGUCCACUGGCUAUGAGGCCCCAUGCAAGGCACUGACAAUAUUGGGUGAGAAAAAAAAGAAAUAUUUUCUGCCUGCAUGUAGUUUGCAGAUAAUAGGAGUUAAGUAGGCGUUAAUCAGAGUCACAUGAGCACCUGAUCACAAUCAGAAACAGAUGCUGUGAAGGAUCAACUCAAGCUGCUCUGAGAGUAAAAGGAUUUAACCUGAGAGGCAGGGCGUGGCCAGGGGGGCAGACGGUCUCGCUGAGGAAGCUGACGUUUGCCUGAGACCGGAAGUAGGAACAGGAGGUUUUGGGUGGAAACUGAGAACAAGGUAUUUGGCAAAGAAGUUUGUUGAGGCCCUGGUAGAACGAUUGUCUCCAAACGUCCUUUUUCCUAAGAGAUCCACUCUUGGGAAGUACAGUCACUGCUCCACUGAACAAGGAAAAUGAUCCAUGAUGAUGAAUAAAAGCAUUACUUUAAUGUUAAUCUUCAUGGAAGAGAACCUACACCUACCGGCAGGAAACAGUUCAUCUGUUUAAUGUUUGAGUUCCAGGUGGCUCUACUCAAGGAUGGAUCUUGGCGGUUGGGAGUCAAGAAGGAACAAGAAAAGACCAGAGCCAGAGGUCAUGUUUGGGUUACCAAUGAAGUCAGUUUUCCAGAUGACAAUUUUUCAGAUUUUCUUAUUAACCUACAGAUUCUCCUGGAAGUAGACUCUCCCAUCAAGCCUGAAAGUCACUGCACUUUUUUUGUGCUUAUCUUCUCCAGGGAAGAAGUCUUGAAAACUCAGAUGCCAUCACCAGCUCUUCUUCCCAACCUCCCAUUUGCUGUUGAACUGCCGCACUCUGACAUCAUCCUGACCAGUCACUGACAGGACCCCCUGAAAACCAAAUCCAGACAGUGCUUGUAAAAGGUACUGCACAGGACUGUUCUACUCCACUUGACAAUCAAGAGCUCUUUGUACUUAUUGAACUUUUCCUUGGUUUCUGCUCUCCUUAUUCUUCUCCAGCCUAUCUGGUCCAUCUUUCUCCUCUUAGCCUAAAAUGGUGUUGUUUCCCAAGGUACUAACU